GAUGAACGCUGGCGGCGUGCCUAAUACAUGCAAGUCGAGCGAACAGACGAGGAGCUUGCUCCUCUGACGUUAGCGGCGGACGGGUGAGUAACACGUGGAUAACCUACCUAUAAGACUGGGAUAACUUCGGGAAACCGGAGCUAAUACCGGAUAAUAUAUUGAACCGCAUGGUUCAAUAGUGAAAGACGGUUUUGCUGUCACUUAUAGAUGGAUCCGCGCCGCAUUAGCUAGUUGGUAAGGUAACGGCUUACCAAGGCAACGAUGCAUAGCCGACAGAAGCGGGGGGGCGGCCACGCUGUGACGGAGACACGUACGAGAGUCCGCCAGAAGGGAACAGGAGGAGAGAUUCCGCAAGGGGCGAGAGACUGACAAAGCAACGCCGCGUGAGUAAUGAAGAUCUUCGGAUCGUAAAACUCUGUUAGUAGGAAAGAACAUAUGUGUAAGUAACUGUGCACAGCUGGACGGUACCUAAUCAGAAAGCCACGGCUAACUACGUG
rnacentral:rRNA from 1 species